rnacentral:tRNA from 1 species
AUUUAAAUAGUUUAAUUUAAAAUAUUAAUUUGUGGAAUUAAAGAUUAUUUUUUUUAUAUUUAAAUA